GUGGGUUUUUCCUUCUUUAACUGAGGGGUACCAACAAUUUUGUCCACGUGUGUAUUCUCAUGUUUCAGGUGGUUCACAGAGUCUGUGGGGCAUUUGAAAGAUUUAGGGAGGGCCUGAAGACCCUUGGUGUUCUAGAUGCAAUGAGGAUUCAGCCAGACAGUUUCAGACCUUUAAUGUGUCAUGAACCAUCUCCACUCACUGCUGACGCAAUGGAUCAGCUUUUCCACAUCCGCCUGUCUGCUGUGGGAAGCAACAAGAGAAUGGCAGAGGAACGUAUUGUGGCAUUUUGGAGGGAUUACCUGCAGGAUGUAGAAGAGCAAGUGGGUCCCUCAGCACUAGGUAAAAUCCUAGCUUUUGCGACGGGUGCAAGUGUCAUCCCUCCAGUUGGAUUCUCCCCACUGCCAUCAGUUGAUUUCCUGCAUGAUCAGUCCAUCAGCCCUGGACGCUAUUUGCCUAUGGCACACACCUGCAUUAACUGCCUUAAAGCUGCUGUCCGGAGUUUGAAUCGCAGCGUCUCCCAAAACACUGGUGGUCCCACCCUCUGAUUUCGCCCCUUUAUUUGUGCACGCGCGCAGUACAUGAGAGAAGUGCCCGGAGUGCAGCAGCAUUUUGCCUGUUUUGCUGUUUUCCCCUCUUCUACAUUUAGUACAUUUAGUAAAUAAUAAAGGAAUUACGUUAGAAUGCUGUAUUGAGUCUAACUUGUCCUAAUACCAAAAUAACAUGAAUCUGCUAGGACGAACGAGUAAAGUUUCAAUAUGUGAUUACACUCGUGUAUCCCUC